rnacentral:lncRNA from 1 species
UAAGGUCAUUAAUGGAAUAUUGAAUAGGUGGUGUGCUUGACCCAUAGUAAUGCUUAAGUGUCAUAAAGAGGCACUAAGCAUAGUGAGAGUUGGAACUUCACCUUGAGACAUAGAACUAGAUCGUUGGAUGCUAGUGGCUAUUACCAUGUUAGAGGCAUGAGGAUUGGGUACUUGAGACAAUGAUUACGCUUGCUUGCCAUUUGUGCUCAUUCGCACAUGCUUGUGAGGGUCGCUCCCUACAAGCCGGCACUCCGG